CCCAUCUGUGUGAUCUGCAGAGAGUCCCGGGCUCACCGCGCUCACAUGGUGGUCCCCAUCCAGGAGGCUGCCCAGGAGUACAAGGAAAGAAUCCAGGCCCAUUUGAAAACUCUGAGGGAAGAGAGAGAAAAGCUGCUGGGAUUGAAAGCGACGGGAGAGAGGAAUUGCCGGGAAUAUCUGAAACAAACACAAACCGAGAGGCAGAAGAUUGUGUCUGAAUUU